GAUGAAGAACGUAGCGAAAUGCGAUAAGUAGUGUGAAUUGCAGAAUUCAGUGAAUCAUCGAAUCUUUGAACGCACAUUGCGCCCUUUGGUAUUCCUUAGGGCAUGCCUGUUCGAGCGUCAUUUAAACCUUCAAGCUCAGCUUGGUGAUGGGCGACUGUCCCCCCCCCCUCGCGGGGGGGACUCGCCUCAAAAACAUUGGCGGCCGGUACAUUGGCUUCGAGCGCAGCAGAAACGCGGUCUCGAGCCCGGUGGAUCGGCUCCCAUAAGCCUAUUCUUUUAUUUUGACCUCGGAUCAGGUAGGGAUACCCGCUGAACUUAAGCAUAUCAAUAAGCGGAGG
rnacentral:misc_RNA from 1 species